UGUUCAGAUUGUUUUAAGUGAUAAUUUAACAAUAUUUUUCCAAAUAAAUAGAAAGAAACUUUUAUUUAUAUCAAAUAAUUGAGUGUCUCGACUGUGUGACAUUAUGUCUUGUGUGGUAUGGGGCUGCAGCUCACAUUCAGGAAGAAAAGAAAAUAGCCAACAACUUCUGUCGUUUCAUCGAUAUUAAAUCCAAAAGUGUCGACUGGAUUUACAUGAAAAGUCAGUUCAAGAAGACGAGAUGAAAAAUUUAAAAGAAAAGCUGAACAAGUCCCGCCUCAAGAUCAAAC
rnacentral:lncRNA from 1 species